AGCGAACGUUAGCGGCACGCUUAACACAUGCAAGUCGCACGAGAAGGGGGCAACCCCUGAAAGUGGCGCACGGGUGCGUAACACGUAGAUACCUGCCCCUCGGAGGGGGACAACGUUCCGAAAGGAGCGCUAAUACCGCGUAAAGCUUCUGGUGGUUUGCCACUGGGGGACAAAGGUAGGGACCAGCAAUGGCCUACCGCCGGGGGAGGCGUCUACGGCCCAUCAGCUAGUUGGUGAGGUAAUGGCUCACCAAGGCAAAGACGGGUAGCUGGUCUGAGAGGAUGAUCAGCCACACUGGUACUGGAACACGGACCAGACUCCUACGGGAGGCAGCAGUGGGGAAUCUUGGUCAAUGGGCGCAAGCCUGAACCAGCGAUGCCGCGUGAGUGAUGAAGGCCUUCGGGUUGUAAAGCUCUGUGGGGAGGGACGAAAGAAUCGGUUCUAACAGGACCGAAGUUGACGGUACCUCCUUAGCAAGCACCGGCUAACUCUGUGCCAGCAGCCGCAGUAA
rnacentral:rRNA from 1 species